rnacentral:rRNA from 1 species
AGGACGAACGCUGGCGGCGUGCCUAACACAUGCAGGUCGAACGGAACCAGCAAUGGUUCAGUGGCGGACGGGUGCGUAACACGUGAGGAACAUGUCUUUCGGUGGGGGAUAGCCGGCCCAACGGCCGGGUAAUACCGCAUACGCUGCUCGGAGCUCCUGCUCUGAGUCGGAAAGCAGCAAUGCGCCGAUCGAGUGCCUCGCGGCCUAUCAGCUAGUUGGUGAGGUAAUGGCUCACCAAGGCGACGACGGGUAGCUGGUCUGAGGGGAGUGGCCGAGACCGACGAUUGGGGACUGAGACACGGCCCAGACUCCUACGGGAGGCAGCAGUGGGAAUAUUGCGCAAUGGGCGAAAGCCUGACGCAGCGACGCCGCGUGUGGGAUGACGGCUUCGGUUGUAACCACUGUCGGGAGGACGAGGAUCGUGACGUACCUCAAAGGAAGCGACCGGCUAACUCUGUGCCAGCAGCCGCGUAA